UCCUGUAUCGAAAGUGACUGUGGCAUGACUGUUGCUAGUGGUCAUUGAUAGUGCAGGUAGAAAAACUUACACUGAGAGUCUUUCCCGUGUUCGCUGGGAACUUGAGCCCAGUGUAACCCUGUAUCUUUCAGACA